UACGUAGGGUGCGAGCGUUGCCCGGAUUUAUUGGGCGUAAAGGGCGCGCAGGCGGCUACGCACGUCCGUUGUGAAAUCGCUCGGCUCAACUGGGCGGGGUCAGCGGAUACGGCGUAGCUGGAGCAAGCUAGGGGGCAAUGGAAUUCCCGGUGUAGUGGUGGAAUGCGUAGAUAUCGGGGAGGAACACCAGUGGCGAAGGCGGCUCACUGGCCCAUUACUGACGCUGAGGCACGAAAGCGUGGGGGAGCAAACAGG
rnacentral:rRNA from 1 species